GAUGAACGCUAGCGGCAGGCUUAAUACAUGCAAGUCGAGGGACAGCACAGGUAGCAAUACUGGGUGGUAACCGGCAAACGGGUGCGGAACACGUACACAACCUUCCUUUAAGUGGGGGAUAGCCCAGAGAAAUUUGGAUUAAUACCCCGUAAUAUAGUUGAAUGGCAUCAUUUGAUUAUUAUAGCUACGGCGCUUAAUGAUGGGUGUGCGGCUGAUUAGAUAGUUGGCGGGGUAACGGCCCACCAAGUCUACGAUCAGUAGCUGAUGUGAGAGCAUGAUCAGCCACACGGGAACUGAGACACGGGCCCGACUCCUACGGGAGGCAGCAGUAAGGAAUAUUGGUCAAUGGACGCAAGUCUGGACCAGCCAUGCCGCGUGAAGGAUUAAGGUCCUCUGGAUUGUAAACUUCUUUUAUUUGGGACGAAAAAGGGCCUUUCUAGGUCAACUGACGGUACCAGAUGAAUAAGCACCGGCUAACUCCGUGCCAGCCGCCGCCGUAAGAC
rnacentral:rRNA from 1 species